rnacentral:rRNA from 1 species
GAUGAACGCUGGCGGCGUGCCUAAUACAUGCAAGUCGAGCGAACAGGCGAGGAGCUUGCUCCUCUGACGUUAGCGGCGGACGGGAGAGUAACACGUGGAUAACCUCCCUAUAAGACUGGGAUAACUACGGGAAACCGGAGCUAAUACCGGAUAAUCUAUUGAACCGCAGGGUUGAUUGGUGAAAUACGGUGUUUCGGUAACGAAUAGAUGGAUCCGCGCCGCAUUAGAUGGUUGGUAAGGUAACGGCUUACCAAGGCAACGAGGCGUAGCCGACCUGAGAGGGUGAUCGGCCACACUGGAGCUGAGCCACCGUCCAGACUCCUACGGGAGGCAGCAGUAGGGAAUCUUCCGCAAUGGGCGAAAGCCUGACGGAGCAACGCCGCGUGAGUGAUGACGGUCUUCGGAUCGUAAAACUCUGUUAUUAGGGAAGAACAAAUGUGUAAGUAACUAUGCACGUCUUGACGGUACCUAAUCAGAAAGCCACGGCUAACUACGUG